rnacentral:tRNA from 1 species
GGGCGAAUGGUUUAGUGGUAUAAUGCAUCCUUAGCAUCCUCACAGGAACGCGACUGGAUGAGGUCCGGGGUUCGAUUCCCCGUUUGUCCA